ACACACACUGCGUCCACAUGCUGCUCCGUUGAAUGUGCCUGUGUGUUGUGCAUCAUUGAUUUUGGAAAAUAGAGCCCGAUGAUUUUCAGUGGAAUUAAUUAUUUACAUUGUGUCAGAAAUUAAAUGCACAACACUUUUUAAAAUGUGUUCCUUAACCCAAACAGCUCAAGACAACCUGUAACACCAUGUUAAAUUCAGUUAAAUUUUAUUUGUAAGGUGCUUUUUUACAGAGACACUGACAAAGACGCUUUACAGUGGAAAUAUGCUCCUCACAGGGCUCUCCAUCAGCCUUAGCCCUCUGAGACGCAUCUGGCUUGGCAGCGCUAGUUAACUUGAUGCUGGAGACUGUGCCUUGAGACACAGCAAAUCAUGUUGGGCACAUUAAAGCAGGGUAGAGUGCGAGGGACUGGAGCAAGAAGACAAGGAUCACACAGAGCCCCCGUUUGUGAAGAAUAACGUCAACCAUCAAGUUGUACAGGCAGUGUCAUCUGUGUCAGGGCACCUCGAGCCAGAAUCAGCCUUUUGGAACACGGCCUGGGAAGCAUUGAGGAAGACUGGCUGACUUUACUGCUGCUGGCGAGGCUUGACCUUGCAGCAAUCUCAAGAAGAGGAAGUUUUCAUUUCCUCCCACUAAUUCUUUGACUGCUGGACGUUGUUCUCAUUGCUUGCCUAUCAGGGGACAGUGGAUUAAUUCAAGAUUUUGGAUUAUCACAACAGAAGGCGACUACGAGUGAGCAGCUAAAGUCCUAAUGGAACUGCAGCUAUGAAGGCUUCCAAGAACUUUUCAUGUCUCAAAGCAGUCUGCUGGAUCUCUCAGAACACAAAGGUUUCUAUUUGCCUGCAGGCAUGGACAGAGGGUAUGGUAGCCGCAGGCUGCCCAAUGGCUGUAACCCUUCCUGGGUCAGCCAGUGACCACAUACCUCGCAGAGGCUGAUUCAGCGUAAAGCAAACUGAGGAAAACCUUCAUCUGGGAGGGGUGAGGGUGUCACCAGAAUUAAAGCACAUUAAGGACCUUUGGGUAAAGCUUGAGUAAUGACUCUUUUAGGAAAUAAGGCUUCAUUUGUUUCUGAUGGGUUGAUCCUUGUUUAUGUUAUAACCUGAGCUGGCACGGUUUGUCCUUAAAUCUUUUUAACACAGAACUUGGAGAGAAUAAAAGGAAGUAGGUUAUCUUAGUCUCCCAUAUUCAGCCUGUUGUUAUAGGAUCACAGUCGUACACAUCCGUCUCUGCUGCCAGGCUUUGCCUUGGCUGAUAAAAUUGUGAUAUAGCUAUUCCUCAAUUUGUAAGCUGAAAAACCUUGCAGUUGACAUUAAUUGAUGACUACCUUUAAAUAUGCAUGGCAAAUCUCCUUGCAAGGAAUCAAGGCAUGCAGUUGAUUCAGCCAGAAGGUUACAAGUUCAAUUCCUAGUGCACAAGAAGAGUCUGUUUCUGGAUUUUGACAGAAUUUCUGCAUGCAUAGCAACGUUAUGAAUGAACCAACAGUCAUGAGUACAGCAGCGAUAUUUAAGUCAGAAUAAUGGGUUGGAACACCUUCCAGAAAAAUAAAUGUACAUGUAUCUUACUGUGGUAAGUCCUGCAGUUUCCUCUAAUAAAGUAUUAAUCAAUA